GACGAACGCUGGCGGCGUGCUUAACACAUGCAAGUCGAACGGAAAGGCCCUGCUUUUGUGGGGUGCUCGAGUGGCGAACGGGUGAGUAACACGUGAGUAACCUGCCCUUGACUUUGGGAUAACUUCAGGAAACUGGGGCUAAUACCGGAUAGGAGCUCCUGCUGCAUGGUGGGGGUUGGAAAGUUUCGGCGGGUGGGGAUGGACGCGCGGCUUAUCAGCUUGUUGGUGGGGGAGUGGCUUACCAAGGCUUGGACGGGUAGCCGGCCUGAGAGGGUGACCGGCCACAUUGGGACUGAGAUACGGCCCAGACUCCUACGGGAGGCAGCAGUGGGGAAUAUUGCACAAUGGGCGGAAGCCUGAUGCAGCAACGCCGCGGGCGGGAUGACGGCCUUCGGGUUGUAAACCGCUUUCGCCUGUGACGAAGCGUGAGUGACGGUAAUGGGUAAAGAAGCACCGGCUAACUACGUG
rnacentral:rRNA from 1 species